rnacentral:rRNA from 1 species
GAGGAGCUUGCUCUUCUUGGAUGAGUUGCGAACGGGUGAGUAACGCGUAGGUAACCUGCCUUGUAGCGGGGGAUAACUAUUGGAAACGAUAGCUAAUACCGCAUAACAAUGGGUGACUCAUGUCAUUUAUUUGAAAGGGGCAAAUGCUCCACUACAAGAUGGACCUGCGUUGUAUUAGCUAGUAGGUGAGGUAACGGCUCACCUAGGCGACGAUACAUAACCGACCUGAGAGGGUGAUCGGCCACACUGGGACUGAGACACGGCCCAGACUCCUACGGGAGGCAGCAGUAGGGAAUCUUCGGCAAUGGGGGCAACCCUGACCGAGCAACGCCGCGUGAGUGAAGAAGGUUUUCGGAUCGUAAAACUCUGUUGUAAGUCAAGAACGAGUGUGAGAGUGGAAAGUUCACACUGUGACGGUAGCUUACCAGAAAGGGACGGCUAACUACGUGCCAGCAGCCGCGGUAAUACGUAGGUCCCGAGCGUUGUCCGGAUUUAUUGGGCGUAAAGCGAGCGCAGGCGGUUUGAUAAGUCUGAAGUUAAAGGCUGUGGCUCAACCAUAGUUCGCUUUGGAAACUGUCAAACUUGAGUGCAGAAGGGGAGAGUGGAAUUCCAUGUGUAGCGGUGAAAUGUGUAGAUAUAUGGAGGAACACCGGUGGCGAAAGCGGCUCUCUGGUCUGUAACUGACGCUG